AUGCUGUCUGUACAACGUAAUGACCUAUGGCUCCAUUUACAAGGCAUGUUAGACAGAAAGCCGCUUCUGGAGGCUCAAAGGACUCAAUUCCAUUUUUUCUUUUUGGUGCAGAUUGCUUUCUCUCCAGAGAGGCGAGUCUGUGAUUGGGACAUUUGUCAGGUAACACUACCAGGAGACGCAGCUGUGCUUCACUCCAGAACCGCAUCUGCGUGUUCUAUGCUGACCAAGGGGACAGCGGCUGGGGGAUUACGUUGAAGGCAAGAAAGCAUGAAGGACAGAGCUAAAGCCGUUGGGUGAGUGGAGACCUCAUUCCUCCCCCUUCAUCACCGAAGAUCGAGACUCUCUGUUUUAAGGUAACCAAAGUGAAACAUCCCUAGGAAAUCUUCCUAGCACUGAUCUUUUUUUUUUUUUUUCAAAAUAACAUAAGUUCUGGUAAAGAGUCUACUCUUUCCCAGGUAUAGUUGACAGUCGUCUUGACACCUUAAUACACUGCAUUACAAACUCUCCUCUGACCAAAGAACCAUUGCUUCUACUCAUCUGCCAUGAUGUUCAGCAUCUCUACUUUUAGAAAUGUAGGUUUUGUAUUUUCUAAGUAUGAGGCCAUUUAUCUCCUUUAAAAAAAAUAAAAUGAAAAUAUAUUUAUCUUUUAUUUCUCAAAGGAAAAAACUUGACCAGGUCCAAAUUUCUUCCACCUCCCUCUUAUCUCUAUUACACCUGCACCUUUUCUUAGGCCUUUAACUGUACCUUAGUAUUCAAGGUAACCUGUCCACUUGUACUCUUGGGUCUCAUCCAUUUCUGUCUUCACCAAGGACUCAUUACAUCAGUUCUUCUUCUUUUCCCUAUUUUCAACAUCACUUCUUCCUCAGUUUUAUUCUCUGGUCAUAUCUCUUCCAAUCUCUUCUUGUAUAGUCGUGCUUAAAGGUAAAGUUACUACAAUUUCUGCAUCUAUUUCUUCUCCUUCCCCAUAUUUCCCAAAUCACCAAGAACUGGCGUUUUGCUGAGAUAACCAGUGACCCAAAGGUGACCAUACUUUUUACUCUUCUCUUAUUUGAUCUACCACCUCCGGCACUGAUAACUGACAUCAAAUUAAUUUCAUCUUUGCUACUUUACAUGAGUCUCUCUUGGUUCUUGCUUCUACUAUGCCAUUCUUCUUAAAGUCUUUUCCAGCUUCUUAUCUUGUGUAGUUCUUAAAUUAUUACAUACCUCAGGGAAGACUCUCAUUUAUCUGAAGCCAUAUCACUUCGGUUCACAUCCAUGCUCUAUAAUUUGAGAACUGUUUGACUUGAGGAAGGUUAUGUAUCCUUUCUGUGGCCCACCUGUAAAUUGAGGAUAACACCAAUAUCAUGACAUAAUGCAAUGUAAGGAUUCACUGUGACUAUAAUUUUCCAUGGGCAAUUUAUUUUAUGCUUUCAGCUCUACCUGCCAUUUCUACUCUUAAGAUUCCCAAAUAGGCAUCUGUACUAA
rnacentral:lncRNA from 1 species